ACAGUUUAAAUCGUGACCCAGUUACGGGUAAAAAAUGUGCAGCUCCGGUUUGAAAAGUACAGAGAGGCAGCAGAGAAAUCGUACUCUCAGUUUUCCGGAGCAAAAAAAAACCUUGAACAAUGUGUGAAACAGGAAUAAGAAAACGGGCACCAGGAAAAGCACCAAAAUAUAUCGACCUGCGACUUGAUUGCCAGUGAGGGGAACCCGUAGGAAGGUUUCACAAAAAGGAAGAAAACAACAACAGGUGUGGCAAUCCGAUUUGCUGUAAAGUGCAGCAGUCUGAUUCGUUGUAAGGGUCACAUGCUUUUCACCCAGAUCCAAUCAACAGAUCUGUUUCAUGCUGUGUGGCCUGGCAGUGAUGGUAAAAAGGAGAAUGGUCCUGUGAUUGUGUGAGAUGCACCCGCUUGUCGGUCUCUAACAGGAGCAGCAUCGGGUACCACAGAGACCAAAAACACG